rnacentral:piRNA from 1 species
UUGACAGAGUCUGGCCUCUCGAUGGUAC